CCAGUGUCAGAUGACAGGAUAACGAGCUCCUUUAUUCAGUGCUGCAUCCAGGAGGAAUUCUUACUGUCUUUUGUCUUACAUAUUGACAGCUCGCUGAGGUCGAUGACUUUGUCUGUUUGGCUGAUCACUGUGACCCCAGUGUUUGCACAGCUAAUACCAGGAUACAAAAACACCCAGGAGACACCCUCCUGGCCAUGCCUGCACAGAUAUUUCCAGAGAAGUUUAACUGAGGAAGGAAGACAUCCCGAAUGCAAGUGGCACCCUUCCCCCAGGCUAGUGUCUGAAUGAAAAAGGAAACAGAGAAAGACAGCUGAACACCAGCAUUCAUCUCUGGCUGCUCCCUGGUCCACCCAGAGGAAGCAGCUUUCUUUUCCUGCCACCAUGCCUUCCCCAUCCCGAUGGAUAGUGUCCUUCUCAAAUUGUAAACCAGUUCUUCCAGUCAGUAUGUUGUCAUAGCAACAAGAAAACCAAGUAGAACUGACAGGUUGUCACAAGACACACAGGAAAGGACAAUGUUAGGAGAUGGAAUAGAGAAUGGGCUAAGUAGAACAGCUUGUAAGAAUUCAGGAUUAUGGGGCUCCCCGGCCCCCCAACAAACAACACUCAAGUUUUUUCUCACAGCAUGGUUAUGACGCUCUAAGAUAAAAAUGUAUCCAUAUACAAAUGAGAACUAACUCUUAUUAAGUGGUAAGAGGAGUUUUAACCAUAUUCGAGAACCUCAAGAUACAGCUAGGGAAUGAACUGACCCAUGAACAUUAGGAUUGGUUAUCUUGAAGUCAUAGAAACACACACACACACACACACACACAUCACAAAAAUAUAGGAAACGAAAACAAGUCAUUUUCUGUAGCAGAAAGUCCAACUAAAGGAAGUUUUUCCAAAGAGCAGAGUACCAAGGACCUUGAGCUCUUUCUAAGUUAGGGGAGCUAAAGUCACUUCUGUGGGUUUACUUAAAAAGAUAAGUCCCCUGGAAUAACUUGGUUUAUAUUUUGAGAAAGAUGGGAACAUUUUGCUACAGACUAAAGGGCCAUUUAAAAAUGCUUCAGGUCCUUUAAAGGAUGUUAAAGGGAGACUUGGAGAAACAAGAUAAUUGCUUGCAGAGAUCAAGUGUCAGCGUGGUAAUGUUGCUAACAGAAGAAAGAAGGAAAAUAUGAUUGUAUGUUUUUAGUGGGGAAAAAAAAAAAGAGUUGGCACUAUGCCAGGUUCAGGAAAGAACAAGCAAAUGCCAAAAGGAGUUUCAAAAUCACUCGCUAUAGAAGGCUGGAAGCAAGUGGCUAAAGCAUAAUUUAGGGUUAAAUCUCACCAUUAUUGAGUUACUACCACAUGGCUCAAAUCUUAGAAAACUAAAUCAGUUCGAUAAUGAAGGAAGUGUGUUGUCUGUGGAAGUUUGGCCUUGCUGAUGUAGGGGCUGUAAUGCCUGGUGAUGAUAGCUCUAUGUAUUUGACAACUCGAUAAAAUUUGA